UUAUUUUCGUAGCGAUUUCCGUCGUUGUGUCUUUUUAAAAUUAAAGUUUAUCUAGGGCACAAAUCUGCUUACAGACUCACAUUCUCUCUCUCUAUCAAACUCGCCCACUUUCUAUCAUCUUCAAUAAUGUGAGAUUCUUGCUUCCAAUACAACAAAUUGGGCGUGAAUCUAAGGCUCAUAUACAAUGGGAACAUAGAUAUCCAAUGGAGAAUAGAAGAAAUUUCGAAAUUGGGCAAAAGUUUUUGCUUUAUAACUUCUGAAAUUGCCGAGAAAUUCAAAUUAACAUGCAUUCCUGAUAACUUUUUCUAAUUUCGCUGGCUCAUAGCUAUUCCGUUUUGUUUUAACACGCCAUCAAAUGGGUUUGACUAAUUUCUUCAAAUGAGUCUUUUGGAUUUUUCAGUGGAAGUGAAAGACGGAUUCACACUUUGAAGUUCUUUGUUAGCUAUCUCGACGGCCAUUACUUCAUCUCGUGUGAAGAAAGGCGAGUUCCUUUUAGUUGAUGUAAACACUCAGCUGAAGAACAAAAACUUCACAACUGAUUGUUUCCUGAAGAAAUGCGAGUUCCUUACCGUUUAUUUCUCUUUGCUCUUAUUCAGAUUGUUUCAUGUUCUGUUAUAGUGAUGUUCAUGUCUGAAAGCUAUGUCCUUUCCUUUUAAAAUUAAACAGGAGGAAACUUUAGGACUCAAGUUUUUACUAUGCUUCAAGAUUAUAUGCAAUUUUUUAAAUUAAGAGAAGGGGACAUGUAGCCAUAAACUACUUGUAAUAAUAUCUAGCAGAUUGACUUUGCAUA